rnacentral:rRNA from 1 species
UACCAGCACCCCGAGUGGUCGGGACGAUUAUUGGGCCUAAAGCAUCCGUAGCCGGUCCUACAAGUCUUCCGUUAAAUCCACCUGCUUAACAGAUGGGCUGCGGAAGAUACUAUAGGGCUAGGAGGCGGGAGAGGCAAGCGGUACUCAGUGGGUAGGGGUAAAAUCCUCUGAUCCAUUGAAGACCACCAGUGGCGAAGGCGGCUUGCCAGAACGCGCUCGACGGUGAGGGAUGAAAGCUGGGGAGCAAACCGG